rnacentral:rRNA from 1 species
CAGCGCCACGAGUGGUGACCACAUUUAUUGGGCCUAAAGCGUCCGUAGCCGGUUUAGUAAAUUCUUUGUGAAAUCGUCAGGCUUAACUUGACGGCGUGCAGAGAAGACUGCUAAACUUGGAACCGGGAGGAGCUAGAAGUAUUUAAGGGGGAGCGGUAAAAUGUUAUAAUCCCUUGAAGACUACCUGUGGCGAAGGCGUCUAGCUAGAACGGAUUCGACGGUGAGGGACGAAAGCCAGGGGAGCGAACCGGAUUAGAUACCCGAGUAGUCC